UCAAGCUAUUACUGCGAAACGUACAUCAGGGAGAAUCCGAUCAUGUGAUGCGCGCAUGUGAUCGGAGUCAGCCGCCGAUUCCGAGAGCGUGAACGCCGGGACUUAUCCUGCAGAUACUAGUCACAGCUCCGGAGCUCCUCCACGGACGCUGGUAUCCAUCCAGCCUGUAUGCUAUGGCCUAAGUACUCAUUACCCCAACGUCUAGGUAACAACAGCAUGCUUCAAUUAUACCACGGAUGUUCCCCCGCUGACAAUAGCAGCACACGUCGGCCACACUGAGCAGACUUCAGGAUUAUUGGGAGCCACAUCUCUGACCAGGGCAUUGCUAAGAAGUCUACAGGACUCUGCAUGAAUCAUCUUUACAUUGGGAGAUUCCAGUCCCCUCAUUGUGGACAUUAAUAAAGGGAGUACCACCACGACUAUUGCGCCGGAUAAGGAGAAUACUCUGGACCCCCGCUAGGUGGAAUGCCCGGCAGAAAGACCACAAGGGACUUGCUCUAUCCAGUGUUCUGUAUUUUUCACGGUGAAGGGUUAAUGGGUGAGGUCAGCUCUGAUGGAAAUCAGAGGAAUCCAGGGCUCUGGGCAUCCGGUGACCACUGCACGUGUCUUAUUGUAUGUUAUUGAAGAAUAUGACAAGGAUCCUGGGAGCACAGGCUAAAGCACCUACAACAGGGUUGUAACUUGAAGCACUGGCGUCCCUGUCCUAGACCAGCCCCCUUUUAUAGGGAGAGCUUCCCCUGGAUUGGCUGGAAGAAACAGGAAACAGGAACUAUGCUUAAAACUUGGUCUCCAACAUGGCGGCAUCCAGUAAUGCAGAUCUUUCUGCAAAGCCACAUUGCUCACUGCCUCUGGUCUCCUAGCAACGGCUCAGCAAGAGCGAUCCACUGUAACGGCAUCCCGCCGCCAUGAGCGGACCCCCUCACCGCCAUCACCUGCUGCCCACGGACCCGGCGUAGCAGCCCACCUCUGCCGCUGAACGCACAUCGCCAGAGAAGCCAGCCCUGCAGCCCCAGCAUACCGGUAAGACUCUGGACGCUGACAAAAAGUCUGCGGCAGUGGGGGUGAUGUCUGCAGCGGAAGGAGGAGGGGCUGCCGGGUGUUAGGAGUUUAGCCAAGAUGACGCCUAGCUCAAUCCAACUUUAUUAAAAGUCAGAUUGAUAUUGUCGGAAAAGGGUCCAAAACCUUUCGGAUUUGGCCCCAUUUAUGACAGAAACAUGAGGAUCAGUGCCUAUUUCGCCGAACAAUGUGUUUUCUGCUCAUGAGGACAGACCUCCACCUUCACUACUCAAACUUUUUUGGCUACCUGCCAUGCUGCUUUCUUCUGUUAUUUUUUUCUCUCUCUCUCUAUCCAUUUUGAAAAAAACAGGUAUGUAGUUAAAAAUAAAAAUAAGUGACAUUAUGUUUAUUUCUUGGUCUAUCACAGAGGUGCUUUAACAGAGGAGGGGGGCCCAUGUGCACUCUCCAAUUAUGCCCCCUUCUCCCUGGCAAUGCAGUAGACACUGGCAUUGUGCCAGAGUCUACUGCGCCUGCACAGGUCUCCAGGAACAUUGCAGCCACAUCACAUUCUGUGGACAUUUGCCGCUCUGCAGCAAAUGCUGGGUUGGCAGGGAGAUGAGUAUAAUUAAAUGGGUGCAGGGUUUGCAGUGUCUGGGCCCCACUGGAACCAGGGGCCCCUUGUACCCAUUAUACCUAUGCCAGUAGUCUAAAACAUUAUAUUAUUCUUUGAUCUGUUUUGCUGUUCUUGACAUUUAUGUCUUGAUUUUCAUGUACAGUACCUGUUUGUUGUGUUACAUGUUCUAAUUAUGAA